GAACUACAGAUAACUUUGACUGAAGAGAAAUCACUGGUGAUGGAGUCAGCCCUGGGAAUAUACCACAGCAUCAGCCUUGAAUAGGAACAGAGAAUCAAGAAACCAGAGACCGUGAUUAAUUAGCUAUUCAUCGAGACAAGGGUGGAGAUCAGAUCACUACGACAACCUUUAGGAGACGCAGGGCAAUAACUUCAUGACUUUAUCUCAGACUGGGAGUUCCAAAUCUUUCUCCAUGGUUUCUAAACAAACAUGCCAAAGGUCAAGCAACAAAGGUCACCCCUCGGCCUCUGACGCUCCAGGGAAAUUGGUAACCUGCCCAUUGCCUAGCACGAAACUUGCCACACCACCUGGUAAAAGCAGAAAUAAUGGAAGAAAAGAUACUAGACGUGAAGAUGGGUCUCGUCAAACUUCUCCCCUGAUUCUACCACACGUCUUACCACAGCCCAUCUCACUCAGACUCCUGUAAGUCUCUGA